UGACCAUAUCAUUUUGAAACACUAGUUCCCAUACAAUCACAAAAAUUAAGAAACAUUGAGCAUGGUCAGUAUCUAGAUGGGUGACUGCUUGGGAAUACCUGGUGCUGUAAG